UGGAGACCCCAUCCACAAAUUUUUCUUGAAAUUUUAACUAUAUAAACACUCGAAUGCCAGUCUAUUGAACACGAACUAGGCUCAUAUCAAGCAUCCAAUACAGAGAAACCAACCGCGAGAAUGGACAAAAAAGGGCUGUUAGUGUUUGCUAUUAUGCUGCUGGUGGCGAGCUCUUGUUUAACGAAAGCCAGGAAACCACCAGCCAUGGCCGAAAAGCAUGAGCUUCAGCAUGAGGAAGACCAGCAGAAAAUGGUAACGGAGGAAACUCCUGGUUAUCCUGAAUCUACGCAGGAUGAAAAUCACCAUUCCAUGGACAUACCAGAUUUCAACAGGCAUCACUAAUGACGUCAGAAAAUGGUUGGGAUGAUAAAACUCCAAGCAUAUGUAGAUGUAUGGGUGUAUGAAUCUUCUGGUAACGAAUUAUGUAUAAUAUGAUAUAAUUUUUAAAUAAAACAGUGACUUUGGUGGUCUUACAAACUAUA